rnacentral:ncRNA from 1 species
AAUCUUUGAGGACGGAACAGGCAGCCGUCGCCCAGAGUUAGGAGAUGCAGGAUUGCCACCCUGCCAACGAUU